AGAAAAAAAAUCAGUUAUCCGGUGCCAGUCAAAAGAGCAGCACGGAGCGAUGAUCGAGGCAAGGGCAAAAAGUGCAUGAACAAGAAAUUAAGUGUACUUUGGGAAGCC
ensembl:ncRNA F09C8.3 ncRNA